rnacentral:rRNA from 1 species
UUAACGACUCUCGGCAACGGAUAUCUCGGCUCUCGCAUCGAUGAAGAACGUAGCGAAAUGCGAUACUUGGUGUGAAUUGCAGAAUCCCGUGAACCAUCGAGUCUUUGAACGCAAGUUGCGCCCGAAGCCAUUAGGCCAAGGGCACGCCUGCCUGGGCGUCUCGCA